rnacentral:lncRNA from 1 species
ACUUUCUAUAAUAUCAUCGCAAGUUAAUUUAAAUAACAAUUGAUAUUACGUUUUAUCACAUCAGCAGCAGAAACUCAUCCAUUGUAUUAACCAUCUAACAAAUCAUAUAACUUGAAAGACAAUCCCUAAACAUUAGAAAACUUAACUAUAAGUGCUACCUCAAUAUAACAUAUGUAUCGUUUACCAUGAAAAACCUUAUACCCCAAAUAAAUACAUGUUUACCUACAAUACAAUUAGAGAUUUUUUUUUUACAUUCCCUUGAUUUAAUAUUAAUAUUAUUUAUUUAAAUUACGCAACCAACUGUUUAACAAUACCAAACGACAUUCAAAAAUAUUCAGAGCAGUAAUGUCAAUUAUUAUAUUUAAAAAUGAGUAUUCCCUUAAAAUGUUGUU